UAGUUUAAUUUGUGCUUCACCCCUUGUCAUGUUUAAAAACAUUUAAUAUUUUCGUGUACCUAAACAGGAGUGAACUAAAUAAUUCGUAUGUGGAGUUUCGUCAAUAUGCAACUCAUUGCAUAUUGAGCUUCACUUAAGGUGUAGCGUUUGACUAUGUGAAUUGCCAUGUCAUGCCUUGCAUAUUUGAACUAAUCAUGCAUCAUAUUAGGGUGUGCAUCAGGUCGUGCAUGUGCCAUGGUGAAUAUCGUGUGUUGAUUGUUGUUUCAGUUUGCUCCGUCCCGAUAGAGUUCCGCAAGCAUGUGGGAAUAUGAGGAUCCGUUUGACUACGUCGUUUCGUCUGCUUCACGGAGUCGUUCUUCUUCCAAGUGGGAUCUCAGGCAAGAUGAUCAUUUCCCCAGAUAUCAUUACUAUCAUUGCCAUGCUAGUUGUUUUAUUUCUAUCGGUUUUCCUUGCUGCCUACCACUUAUAUGUCAGCCUCUCAACAUUGCCAUGAAAACCUUCAACCUAUUCACAACCUAGCAAACCACUGAUUGGCUAUGUUACCGGUUGCUUAACCAUGUGUUAGCGUUGCUAGUUGCAGGUGCAGUUGCUUCCAUGUGAUAACAUGGGUCCUUGUUAUAUCACCAUAUUAUUUGCUAAUUAAUUUAAUGGACCUACAUACUUGGUAAAAGGUGGAAGGCUCGACUUUCUAGCCUGGUGUUUUGUUCCUCCUUUGUCGCCUUAGUUUCGGCUACCGGUGUUAUAUUCCAUAUAACAUAUGCUCAAUCAUGGUCAAAGGGCUGCUUGCCUUGGUUAGCUAGGUAUCCGGGGUCUUAGAGG
rnacentral:lncRNA from 1 species